AUAUUUCGGAACUGAGUCUAGUUCCUUCGAUAUCAGUGUAAUCUAAUAUUUAUGACACUGAUAUCGAAGGAACUAGACUCAGUUCCGAAAUAU